rnacentral:misc_RNA from 1 species
AGGAAGCCAAAUUUAUCGCAGAAGAGCCCAAAAAAACAACAAAAGGUAAGGGAGUACAGCUGCUGUCCUGAACACCAAGUAAAAGCAGGGAACUGAUGCACCACACAUAUUCAAGCCUAAAGAGCGGCCACAAAAUCUGCUUAACGAUUCAAACCUUGCUUGGCUAAGAUGCCAGCAACUGAAUUUGCUUCUGAGUAAUGGAAGCCAUGGGUAAUAAAGCCAACAGGUCCAAAAUUGAGUUUAUAAUAGCCGAAAAUUUCCAUGGUGCUGAUUCUGAAUGUGUGACCCAACAAACUGCAUUUUUCGAAUCAGAUUCAAUUAUAAUAGACUCGAAACAACAACCUAGCUCGAGA